rnacentral:rRNA from 1 species
CGGGGGUUUAUUUAUUUUAAAUUUUUUUUUUUCCCCCUUUUUCUUAUUAUUAUAGGAAGGAGAGAUAAAGGCCCCGCGGAGAAAAAAAAAUUUUUGGGGUUUUAAAACCCUCUUUUUAAUUGUUUUCUCUCUUUUAAAAAGAACAUUUUUUUUUUUUUGAAAUUAAAAGGGUUUACGGGUUUUGGAGAGGGGGUUUUGGGCUUUUUUUUUUAAUUUUUUUGGGGGGAGGGAAAGGGGCUUCCCCUUAAGAUUUUGAAAAGAAAAGGGGCCCCGGAAAAGGGGGGCCCCCCCCCCCCUGGGUAUUAAGCCCCGGGCCCAGAAUCCUUCGGGGAGGCAGCCAUAAGGGAAUAUUGGUCAAUGGAGAAAAGUUUUGACCCAGCCCAUGCCGCGUCCAGGAUGAAUCCCUUAUGGGUUUUUAAACUGCUUUUAUACAGGAAAGAAAAACUUUUUUCGUGGGAAAGCUUGACGGGUACUGUAAGAAUAAGGAUCGGCUAACUCCGUGCCAGCAGCCGCGGUAAUACGGAGGAUCCAAGCGUUAUCCGGAAUUAUUGGGUUUAAAGGGUCCGUAGGUGGAUAAUUAAGUCAGAGGUGAAAUCCUGCAGCUUAACUGUAGAAUUGCCUUUGAUACUGGUUAUCUUGAGUUAUUAUGAAGUGAUUAGAAUGUGUAGUGUAGCGGUGAAAUGCAUAGAUAUUACACAGAAUACCAAUUGCGAAGGCAGGUCACUAAUAAUCAACUGACACUGAGGGACGAAAGCGUGGGUAGCGAACAGGAUUAGAUACCCUGGUAGUCCACGCCGUAAACGAUGGUCACUAGCUGUUUGGACUUCGGUCUGAGUGGCUAAGCGAAAGUGAUAAGUGACCCACCUGGGGAGUACGUUCGCAAGAAUGAAACUCAAAGGAAUUGACGGGGGCCCGCACAAGCGGUGGAGCAUGUGGUUUAAUUCGAUGAUACGCGAGGAACCUUACCAGGGCUUAAAUGUUUGGUGACAGAUCUAGAAAUAGGUUUUUCUUCGGACACUAAACAAGGUGCUGCAUGGUUGUCGUCAGCUCGUGCCGUGAGGUGUCAGGUUAAGUCCUAUAACGAGCGCAACCCCUGUUGUUAGUUGCCAGCGAGUAAUGUCGGGAACUCUAACAAGACUGCCAGUGCAAACUGUGAGGAAGGUGGGGAUGACGUCAAAUCAUCACGGCCCUUAUGUCCUGGGCUACACACGUGCUACAAUGGUAGGUACAGAGAGCAGCCAAUGCGCGAGCAUGAGCAAAUCUAUAAAACCUAUCUCAGUUCGGAUCGAAGUGUGCAACUCGACUCCGUGAAGCUGGAAUCGCUAGUAAUCGGAUAUCAGCAAUAUGCUUGGAUCGCGCCGCUA